GUGCCAGCAGCCGCGGUAAUACGUAGGUGGCAAGCGUUGUCCGGAAUUAUUGGGCGUAAAGCGCGCGCAGGUGGUUUAAUAAGUCUGAUGUGAAAGCCCACGGCUCAACCGUGGAGGGUCAUUGGAAACUGUUAAACUUGAGUGCAGGAGAGAAAAGUGGAAUUCCUAGUGUAGCGGUGAAAUGCGUAGAGAUUAGGAGGAACACCAGUGGCGAAGGCGGCUUUUUGGCCCUGUAACUGACACUGAGGCGCGAAAGGCGUGGGGAGCAAACAGGAUUAGAUACCCUGGUAGUCC
rnacentral:rRNA from 1 species